UAUACAUAUGUACCUAUAUACGUCAGCCGCUACAGCUGAUCGAAGAAAACCAACGUAAACCAUUAAACCAUUAUUAGACUAAACACGGAAACAUUACAGACUAGUCGCUGUUACUUAUUGUCUGUGCAAAAUGUACAGUCGACACAGAAACUCGAAAAUGACCGGUAAUUAAUCGGAAGUGAAUGGAGACAUACGAUCGAGAGAAAUUUUUGUUUUCCUGUGAUGUCGAGAAGUACUAUCAUGCCUUCGAUAUGUUAUUUUCGAAGGCGACAUCUCAUGAUCCUCCAAUUUCACAUUCUUUUAAUAGUACUGCUUUUUCCAGGCAGGGAGUGCACCAUGCCAGAAGCUAGCCAGGAGGGAUUAUUACAUUCUUUCAAAAGUUAUUCAGAUAUAGCGAUGUUUCAUUACACAGUUCCAAAAGAGGUGCUAAGAGCUACUUGGCAGUUUGCGGCAUUUAUGGAUGGGCAAGGUUGUCCAGAAAGAAAAGUGCACAUAUACCUGCAAUGGGGCAGUUAUCCUGUGAUAUCUGUAAAUAAUGAUACAUUCCCAAAGGAUAUGUAUCCUAUGCGUAAUCAGACUAUUACAAUUUCUGCAGUCACAACAUUUGAACCAAAAACUACUGCAGUUGUACCAAUUUAUGGCCCAGAAGCUGGAGACUGGUUUGUGGGAGCGUAUCUGUCUUAUUGGGAUGAAAAGGUUCAACAACAGGGACUUGGUCAUAAAUGCCAUUACAGUAUAGGUUCUGUAGCCAUAUGGACACAGGCAAAUAGUAUCGAAAAUGUACCUAUCGGUUACACACAUAACUUGAGAACAAAAGAAACUACUUCCUAUUACAAGAUAUACAUUCCAUCAGGAACGUGGAAUUUUCGUGUAGAUAUUUGGGGCUGCAAUUUUACUGUGCAAAAACCUCAUGAUGUACAGGAACUUUGUAUCAAAAGCUUAGCUUUGAAAGGACGUUCAUUACCUAUUUUCAACCAUUCCGAACUUGCUGAAACCGUAAACUUGACUAUGCAAGAUUCAUAUAGAUUUAGAGAAUCUUCGCCUUAUGAGGAUAGUUAUUACUACUUGAUGAUCGUCUCAGACAGUGUCAUUGAACUAAAUGUAAAAGUAACCAUUUCAGAGUGCCCGAUAAGAAUAACGGAAAAAUCUUUUGUAAGACAAUAUUUGGACGCACCUUCAUUUUCCAAAGCACUGGCUCAGUUACAUAUGAAAGAUUUAACAAAACAUCGCUUGCAUCAUACUGAAAGCAGAAAUAACGAAUCGUUUUACGGUGAAGUUUAUCUUAUGAAGAAUCAGUUUCAUGAAUCAGACGAAACAUUUGAUGAUCCAUGCGUUCCAAGAUAUCAGCUUGCUAGAAUAAAGCAUUCGCAAACAUUUUCGGGAGUUUACUUAUUGCAGGGCAGAGAAUGGUUAACAUCUUGGGUAAUGUUAACUGACGUGCAUCCGGUUGUAACACAAUUUAAUAUUUUGCCGUUAGUAGAUAUUGGUGGCACACUUGACAUAAGCGCACAUUUAGAAAUGGAUAAAGUAGUGAUAAAACAAUUAGUCAAAGUUCUAAUUUGUGUUAGACGCGGGCGAGUUCCAGAUAGAGUUAAGAGUAAUAUUGUAUGUAAAAAUCCCGAAAUGUCGAUGAACUUGUCUUCAUCUGAUAAACGCGAUGGAAAUAUAUUAAUACCGUAUCCGCAACCAGACACCUGGUAUGUUACAUUAGAUGCAACGUGCUAUUUCAACGGAAAUCCUGUUAAAUGUGAAAUGGAAGAAAUUUUAGUAUCAUUAGAUAUACGGACCAGGCAAUGUGUAUUUCCUGGAAAUUAUCCAUGUGGUCACCACGGGAUUUGUCAAGAAAUACAUCGAGAUAUCCUAUAUUAUACGGCAUGUAAAUGUUUCGAAGGAUAUAAAGGAUGGGGUUGUACAGAUGCUACUAAUGCCAAUCCAGAAUCUUCUCUUCUUGUAACAACACUGAUACUCACUUUAAGUAAUGGUUUUUUUAUACCUGCUAUAUAUUUAGCCGUUAAGCGUGGGCUGUAUACUGAGGGAUUAGUCUAUUUGGCGACUAUGCUUUUUUCGUCUUUGUACCAUGCUUGCGAUCAACAUGUUAUGACUUAUUGCGUUGCUAAAUACGAAGUUUUGCAAUACAGCGAUUUCUUUUCAAGCAUAUUAGCAUUUUGGGUGACACUCGUCGCAAUGGCCGAAAUACCAAUUCGUUUCGUAUCAUUAUGCCAUAUGUUCGGAGUUUUUAUCAUAGCUUUUGGAGUGGAAUCUAACAAGACGGGCUUAGCUAGUAUAUUAGUACCUUUGGGUAUGGGCAUUAUGAUACCAAUGGGAGCGUAUGCUUAUCGUUGUUUUCAAUUAAAAAAAUGGAAGAAACCUGAUCAAGUUUCCAAAUUGUUAACAGGUUUAACGUUGGCUAUUAUAGGCCUGUUGCUCUUCUCUUUAAUUGAAACAGAAGCUAAUUAUCAGUACGUUCACAGCGCAUGGCAUAUGAUAAUAGCGAUCUCAUUAGUAUUUCUUUUGCCACCAUCGCGGUUGGAACAAGUCGGUUCGUCGGGUAGCUCAUUCAGCGAUGAUAGUGAAUUACUCGAUUACAAAGAUCCACCGGGCAGUCCAAUUUUUACGGUGACCAGCGGCCAGGAAAAUUUGGUAAUCGCAUCAAAUUAAAAAUUACCUUGAAGAGUAGAACGGUGAUUCAGUCCAGAUAAGUAAUAUUAAUAGCAACGCGUCCAUCACGGAAUUUUUUGCAUCUUCUGGAACUUUUAAGUCUUUACAGAAAUCGCGUAAUACGUUCAAAUUCAUCUUCUUCAGACAAAACUGCCGUUUCAUUUGUUCCCAAUAGAAAAUAAAUAGUCUCUCUCGAUAAUUUCGAAACGGUGUGAAGAAGACGUUCCUUUGGUACGUAUAACGCAGUCAGACUCAAUGGUUUAUAAACCUCUUCCAUUAGAAAUGCAAUAAAUUGGUGUAAAUUUGAGAAAAUAUCAUUUCUUAAAACUGUUCAUUAUGGAAAAUGCCAGGAAGAAAAAUAGAAAACGAUAGAAGUAAGACUGUUUAAAAAAUAAAAAAUUACAUGCAUACAAAUUUUCGCUA